rnacentral:rRNA from 1 species
CGGCGGACGGGUGAGUAACGCGUGGGUAACCUGCCUCAUACAGGGGGAUAACAGUUGGAAACGGCUGCUAAUACCGCAUAAGCGCACAGUACCGCAUGGUACGGUGUGAAAAACUCCGGUGGUGUGAGACGGACCCGCGUCUGAUUAGCUGGUUGGCGGGGUAACGGCCCACCAAGGCGACGAUCAGUAGCCGACCUGAGAGGGUGACCGGCCACAUUGGGACUGAGACACGGCCCAA